CUCGUGAAGCUGGUUGCGAGAAUGCCAAACAUUUGUAAAUCUGUCAUCUAGGCAAAAGAUUUGCCAAGGCCCCUUUCUCUUGUGGACAUCUACUUAUGAGGAGGUCACCAGACUGCUGAUUAUUACGCACACCUCUCACCAUCGUCACGCGCACCGGCGCUUAUUGACCCUCACCUGGACUCAAUCACCUCCUUGAUUACCUGCCCUAUUUAUGUCACUGCCUUUGGUUCCUUCCCCAGGCGUUAUUGUUUCUGUUUCAUGUCAGUUUGCUGUUAGUGAUUCUGGUUUUGGUCAUGUUUGUUUAUUAAUUAAAUGU